rnacentral:rRNA from 1 species
UACGUAGGGGGCAAGCGUUGUCCGGAUUUAUUGGGCGUAAAGAGCUCGUAGGCGGUUUGGUAAGUCUGGUGUGAAAUCUCCACGCUCAACGUGGAGGGGCCACCCGAUACUGCCAUGACUGGAGUCCGGUAGAGGAGUGUGGAAUUCCCGGUGUAGCGGUGAAAUGUGCAGAUAUCGGGAGGAACACCGGUGGCGAAGGCGGUUCUCUGGGCCUGUACUGACGCUGAGGAGCGAAAGCGUGGGGAGCGAACAGG